rnacentral:rRNA from 1 species
UUGAACGCUGGCGGCAUGCCUUACACAUGCAAGUCGAACGGUAGAGGAGCAAUCCUCGAGAGUGGCGAAUGGGUGAGUAAUGUAUCGGAACGUGCCCAGUAGUGGGGGAUAGUUCGGCGAAAGCCGGAUUAAUACCGCAUGAUACCUGAGGGUGAAAGCGGGGGACUCGCAAGAGCCUCGCGCUACUGGAGCGGCCGGUAUCAGAUUAGGUAGUUGGUGGGGUAAAAGCCUACCAAGCCUGCGAUCUGUAGCUGGUCUGAGAGGACGACCAGCCACACUGGGACUGAGACACGGCCCAGACUCCUACGGGAGGCAGCAGUGGGGAAUUUUGGACAAUGGGCGAAAGCCUGAUCCAGCCAUGCCGCGUGCGGGAAGAAGGCCUUCGGGUUGUAAACCGCUUUUGUACGGAACGAAAAGACUCCUUCUAAUAAAGGGGGUCCAUGACGGUACCGUAAGAAUAAGCACCGGCUAACUACGG